CGAUCUCUCGCCAUUAUUUCCUUAGAUUCCUGGUGAAUGCAACUCUACAGGGUUUGGUCAACUCUCUUCUGUUGCUGCCUUCACUCAGGUUUCGUGCCUCAAAUCUGAUCUGGGCUGUGGACCUCAAGGUUGCCUGUGUCCCGAGGAAAGGGAAUCUCCGGCCUCAGCAACUGGAUGGGGAGAAUAACUUUGGGAGACUUCCAGGUUCCUGCGUGGUCACCUGCGGUCCCCUUGAGGCCAGCCCCGCCGUGCACGGACCUAUAGAGCAUAAGUCUCUAGGGUGAUGCAGAGGGCUCCCCUAUGGGCAGACCUGAUAAGAGUGUAGGAGAUAGGAAAGAGGUCCAGUCCGUGAGGAACCAGCUACGUUGGCCUGGGAAGUAGUGCUUGUGUGUUAACCAUCGGCCCCGUGUCCACUGUCCUCUCUACGCUGGGCGGUACGUCGUCCCCUCCAAGCCUUUCAUUCACUCCUCACAGACACUCUCUGCAGCAGAAGUGACCGACCUGGGUUUGGAGACAGGAAGAUUUUGGGGUGUCUCUUCUAAACUGUGACCUUCAGAACCAGUUGCCAGUGGUGAAGUCAACAAAGGUGUCCUUAAUGACUCCACUCCACAACCACCCCAGGCUGCCCCAUCCCUUUCUGGCAACCAAGAGCAGCCUCCUGCCUCUAAGCCUCCACGUCGGCCUG